ACCCGCUGAACUUAAGCAUAUCAAUAAGCGGAGGAAAAGAAACUAACAAGGAUUCCCCUAGUAACUGCGAGUGAAGCGGGAAAAGCUCAAAUUUAAAAUCUGGUGGUCUUUGGCCAUCCGAGUUGUAAUCUAGAGAAGUGUUAUCCGCGCUGGACCGUGUACAAGUCCCCUGGAAUGGGGCGUCAUAGAGGGUGAGAAUCCCGUCUUUGACACGGACUACCAGGGCUUUGUGAUGCACUCUCAAAGAGUCGAGUUGUUUGGGAAUGCAGCUCAAAAUGGGUGGUAAAUUCCAUCUAAAGCUAAAUAUUGGCGAGAGACCGAUAGCGAACAAGUACCGUGAGGGAAAGAUGAAAAGAACUUUGGAAAGAGAGUUAAACAGUACGUGAAAUUGUUGAAAGGGAAACGCUUGAAGUCAGUCGCGUCUGCCAGGGAUCAACCUUACUUUUGUGAGGCGUACUUCCUGGUUGAUGGGUCAGCAUCAGUUUUGGUUGCUGGAUAAAGGUCAGAGAAAUGUGGCACCUUCGGGUGUGUUAUAGUCUUUGAUCAGAUACAGUGGCUGGGACUGAGGAACUCAGCGCCGCAAGGCUGUCUUAGGAUGCUGGCAAAAUGGCUUUAAUCGACCCGUCUUGAAACACGGACCAAGGAG
rnacentral:rRNA from 1 species